rnacentral:rRNA from 1 species
CCUACGGGGGGCUGCAGUGGGGAAUCUUGCGCAAUGGACGAAAGUCUGACGCAGCGACGCCGCGUGGGUGCUGAAGGCCUUCGGGUUGUAAAGCCCUGUGGGGAGAGACGAAUAAGUGCGGGCUAAUACCCCGCAUGAUGACGGUCUCUCCUUAGCAAGCACCGGCUAACUCUGUGCCAGCAGCCGCGGUAAGACCGAGGGUGCAGACGUUGUUCGGAAUUACUGGGCGUAACGCGGGUGUGGGGGAUGUGAAAGCCCCGGGCUCAACCCGGGAAGUGCACUCGAUACUGUUAGGCUAGAGUACUGGAGAGGUUGGUGGAAGUCUCGGUGUAGAGGUGAAAUUCGUAGAUAUCGAGAGGAACACCGGUGGCGAAGGCGGCCAACUGGACAGAUACUGACGCUGAGACACGAAAGCGUGGGGAGCAAACAGGAUUAGAUACCCGUGUAGUC